rnacentral:rRNA from 1 species
UUGCCCCAGUAACGGCGAGUGAAGCGGCAAUAGCUCAAAUUUGAAAUCUGGCCCUUUCAGGGUCCGAGUUGUAAUUUGCAGAGGGCGCUUUGGAGUCGGCAGCAGCCUAAGUUCCUUGGAACAGGUCAUCAUAGAGGGUGAGAAUCCCGUAUGUGGCUGCUUGUCUUCGCCGUGUAAAGCCCCUUCGAUGAGUCGAGUUGUUUGGGAAUGCAGCUCUAAAUGGGAGGUAAAUUUCUUCUAAAGCUAAAUAUUGGCCAGAGACCGAUAGCGCACAAGUAGAGUGAUCGAAAGAUGAAAAGCACUUUGGAAAGAGAGUCAAAAAGCACGUGAAAUUGUUGAAAGGGAAGCGCUUGCAGCCAGACGUGCCUGUAGUUGCUCAUCUGGGGAUUCUCCCCAGUGCACUCUUCUACGGGCAGGCCAGCAUCAGUCCGGGCGGUUGGAGAAAACGCUGUGUCACGUAGCUCUCUUCGGAGAGUGUUAUAGGGCAGCAAGAAUACAACCAGCCUGGACUGAGGUCCGCGCAUCUGCUAGGAUGCUGGCGUAAUGGCUGUAAGCGGCCCGUCUUGAAACACGGACCAAGGAGUCUAACAUCUAUGCGAGUGUUUGGGUGUCAAGCCCGAGCGCGUAAUGAAAGUGAACGGAGGUGGGAACCCUUUGGGGUGCACCAUCGACCGAUCCUGAUGUCUUCGGAUGGAUUUGAGUAAGAGCAUAGCUGUUGGGACCCGAAAGAUGGUGAACUAUGCCUGAAUAGGGUGAAGCCAGAGGAAACUCUGGUGGAGGCUCGCAGCGGUUCUGACGUGCAAAUCGAUCGUCAAAUU